CGGGAGUGGCGGGCGCUGGGGUGGGAAGAGGAGGAGGAACGAGGGAGGGCUGCGCUCACGGGUGGAGUUGCGUAACGGGGGCUCCGGGCUGGAGGAGUGGACGCCGCUGAGGGAGGCGCCAUGUCCCACCGGCGGGGGGGGCAGUAGGCACGCUCGCACCCCCCCCGCCCUGCCCCGCCUCGGGCGUGGCGCUCUUGGCACAAGCGGAAAAUAAAGGCUUCCCGGAGCGGGAACGGGGCUGAGCGGGGCUGCGAGGGAGAUGCUUGGUUGGCGGGCAACGGUCGCACGGAAGGGCUGGGGCCGCCCCCGCCGUUGGUUUCGCCCACGCUCCCCGCCGCCUCCCCCGGGAGCCUGUGACAGGUGGAGCGGGCCCCGCCGGCGCGCGCGCGCCCUCGCGGCUGUCACGUGGCGCGGGGCCGCCGCGCGCGCUUCGCGCGAGACGCGCGGCAAAUCUCGCGAUGUCUCGAGGGCCUCAGGGCGUGAGGGCGGGGAGGGCCCGGCCCGGCCCGGCCCCGGCCGGAGCGGUGGGAAAAGCGCGAAGGAUGGAAAUGGCGACAACGGGGAAUUCGGGCUUCUGGGCACGCCUCGCGUGUGGAUCCUCACGUGUUUUCUGGUCCUGAUGGUGCAGAGACACUGGCAGGAAUGGAGACUGGUCAAGACAAAGUCUUAAAUAAUGCAAAUGAAGACUCAGAGUAGUGUGUCCGUGCCGCUCUUAAAAGCGGACUCUUGUAGCUCUGCUUUCUGAUGCAAAUGCAGGAAGAACAAAAAAAAAGUAUCUGGGUUCGAUGAUGUUGCAUUUCUUCAUAAAAGAGUCAGCAGCCAGUUUGUUGAGAGUAUUGGUAUAAGAGACAGGCAUUUGUGCUCAAAGGACUUGCAAGUUUGAAAUCCAGAUAAAACCCAAGGUAUUUUCGGUGCUGGGAAUGGGCCAUGGUCUGUGAAUAGGUGGAAGCACUGUGAUCAAACAGCUGUGUCCAUCUGUAUUGUCCGUGGUUCUCUGUCAGGGAUUUUCUCAGCAGAGUUUCCUCAGGUGCCAAAAUCAGUGCCAAGCGCCUGACUGGUUGGGAAUGUGCCAUAAAUGUGGGGUUUCAAUGCAGAUUGCUUCUCAGUCCUGACUCUCGGGCGUGAAGUUUCCACACUGCAGUAUCCUGGGUAUAAAUCAGCAGAAAGGAGAGUGGACAAAACCAUUUCUGAGUGGAAGAAAGGGACUGCUGAACAACAGAGCAAAUCAGGGGAGUGUAGAAGCAGAGUCCUGGUCCAGCUGAAACUCAAGUGCACCUGAAGUCACAACAGCUGAGUUACCUCUCUGGUACUGUCAGUGCCACUCUAAACCCUCUGUACCCUGUCUGAAUUGCUGGCAUUGAAUUUCCAGAUGCCCUUAUUUGUUUGUUUGUUUAUUUAUUUGCUGUCACUUCCAAGUCAGGUAGCAAAUCUGAAGGAGCAGUAGAUCAGUCCCUGUUGGAUACAACUGAAACCUCAUGUUCUUGUGUAGUCCAGGCAUACUUUAUAGCCAUCUGCAGCACGAUCCAUCCCUGGAAAAACUGUGGUGUUUGAAGCUGGAUCUAUCCGUCCCAAUUGGUUUGGUUUUCAUUCCUGCUCUUGGAAGUUCUGGGCAGCUGCAAGCCUUGACCAGCUAAAUGAGGGCAGAGGUCAUCUCCUUACCCGAGAGGCUGAGGAAGCUCAGGAGCCACGCGUGAUCUCUGCUGAUGCUGCUGUUUAAGAAAGGAUUUUGAGGUGUGGAGUCAAUGUUGUGCUCCCAAUAGCUCAGGAGGCCUCUGACUAUGAGGCAAAUCCUUUUGCAGCAGAGCAGGCAGAAUGUGAUGAGACAACCUUGGAUUCAUGUGACAACGUGCACGUAUUGAGAACAGCAAUGAAAAAAGCAGGCUGACCAACAGAACCCACAGGAUGCCAUCUUGUGUCCUACAAAACAUAAAUCUAAUACUUGCAUUGUUGCUAUCUUGAUAAAUUUUAGUCAACCUGCCUGAAAUACGUGGCUGUUUGGCAUGUGAGGGAAAGCAGCAUAAACUAGUAAAAUCUGCCCAUGGGUCAGUUAGGGAGAAAGCAGCCUCAUUAACACUUCUCUUUUUCUGCAUUUGUUUUCCUUACUGUUGUUUUCUUUUACUCCAAGGUAAGAGAAGAAAAGCUUAAAUUACUAAACUAUUUUCUUGAUUUUUGGAACAAAAAAUCCGGUGUGCUUCCUUUUUGUGCUCUAGCAGUGGCUCUUCUAUUGUCCAGGAGUUUGGAAUAAAAUGACCUGCAAUUUCCAUGUUCCUUGUACUACUCACAUUAAAGUUCUGCUGGGUGUUGUGUGGUGAUCUGUGUUUUGACAGCAUAUGCUGGUCAAGAAAGUGGGGAAGCUGAUCUAAACCCCAAAGUUUUGUGUUGUUUUGAGUUGUUUUUUUUUUCCCCACAAAAAAAGGCAAAUGCUUUUGCUUGGCAGUAAGGAAAACCAAUAGAUGAAUAGGAGAAUUAUUAUUGAAAAUAGGAAAAAAGUCACUGCGAUGGUGUUUACCACUAUGCUGAAGAGAAAAUUGCUUUUUUAUCUCAGAAGUACUUUCCUAGCUUUGGGUGGUAAGGGGAGUAAGCUAGUCUAGGACAUUGGUUAUUAUAAAGAAAAAAAUACAGUUUUUUUAAAUGAAAAUUUUAAAAAUAAAGUCUAUAUGCUUUGGUUGUAGACCUUAAUUAUUACUGUUCUGUCUUGCUUGAAUCAUGUGGUCAUUUUUUGUCUAUUGCCCUCUCUGUCCUUGGUUAGCAUGAGUUUAAAGCCUGGAUUGUUUUUGAAAGGCUUAAUGCUGGAAUGCAUCUGGGGGUUAAGUGGUAAUUCGUGGUCAUAAGGAGUCCAGGUAAGCAGCAAUAUCCAUCCCUGUGCAGCAACAUGUCAGCAAUUCGGUCCAGACAUGGAAAACCAUGAAUUUGUGUCAUCCCCUUAACUGUAUUCUGAGCUGUUUGAUGCAUUCAGAAAGCAGGGCAUUUCGGGGUGUUCUGUAGAUUUGCUGUGUAAGAGAGACCAGUUCUCUGCAUGCCAGCACGAACACAGCAUGAACCUCUUUGCUGAAGCUCUACCAGUAGAAGAAACAACUGCUAGAAGAUCUGUAUCCUGUUUUUAUAGUACAUAGAUCUAUGUUAUACUGACAGUUUCUGCUGACUUGGAGAAAUAAAUAAUGUCAAAAAUUACCCUUGUCCAGGAGGUGGUUCCUUUACAAUACUACUGAUGGUGAUUUUUUUAGAACUUUUUUCAAUCAUGCCUGUACCUCCCACCUCCAGCACUUUUGGUUGUGUCUUUGGUGUGCAUUCCAAAUGUGGAAAUGCUUUCCUUUAUGGUAAUAAUUUUAGGUGAAUGUCUGUCUUCCCCCUAGGAACCAGAUGCAGCAACUUACGACUUGCCACCUUCCAAAGAAAUCACUUGUUUGACAGGAGAUGAUCCUGAACAAGGAUCUCUGCUCUCCCAGAGCAGUGCAGAGAAGCUGAAAUUUCUUGCAUGUGUUUCCAUGCAGGAAUUUGAGAAGCCGACAAUAAAAUAUUGUGUAUAUAUUAACUUGUCUUCAGAUUGACAGUUGUAACUUAAUAGAAUUUGGCAAAUGCUGUAAAGAAGAGGAAAAAAAUCCCAUCUUUUUGUUUCUAUGGUGGUUUUAUAUGUGUUGAUUUAAUAUUAAUUGCUGGGCUGAUACCUUUGUGGCCUUCUGAUUCUGUGGCUUUGAAGUGAAAAAGAAAUCACAUUUGUAAACCAGCUCUGAGCAAAAUUAUGAUGGUUUUUGUGUAAACAUUUGAAAAGAGCCAGUCGUGAUGCUCAGCAAACCAGGUGAAUGGAUAUCUUGUUAACUUUUGUUAAUUCUGGGAUGGAAUCCAGUAUUCAAAAUACUUCAUCAUCUGGUAUUUUUGUUUUUCUCCAAGAACAGAGGAUGCCACAUGCUCUUACUGGAUUUAAUUUAGUGUUUCAUACACAAAUCUUUUUGAGAAAGUAUCUGGGAAUUACUUAUGUUAAAAGCCUCAACUGUUGUGUAUGUUUUUGUUAAUAUUUAUGUGCAUGUCUAAAAGGACAAAAUCUUCAAUAACCAAUCUAAACACUAUUUUGGCUGUAGUCUCUCUUCCCUGUCCAUUUUUUACAACAUCAGCCACUUUCAAAAUCAGGUAUUUUGCACAGGCAGUGGUAGAUACUAAAUCUUGUAAUGGUGCACAGGUGAGAGUUGUAAAGGUGCAAACAGCAGAAGCAGCUUUGGGACAUUGGGUGUGGCAGAGUCAAAGCCUCAGCUCAAGAAGCUGCAUCUUGCACUUACUGAACACAAACAAUGGCAGUUCUCCAUCCUUGUCUAAGCAGUUCAGGAUUCCCUCAGCAAUGGGUGAGUCAGGGCAGUUAAAUGAAAUAAAACAUCAUGCUUCAAUCUGCAGACUUAGUUGCUGUAGGACAGCUCUCUUAUAUUUUUGAAUCUUCAUUUGAUGUGUAGGACACAAUGGGGUUGUACUCAAAGCAUGUAAAUGUGUUCAUCAUAUGUAACUGGAAGAUAAGCAAAACAAACUGAAAUGUGCUUUUUUUUUUCUUUGCUCUAUUUUAUUUUCUUAAGUUUGCUAUUAUCAAGAGGCAGGUUAUGUUUAGAAUUUCUCUAGGAGUGCUCUGCUGUGUCAAUAAGAGUUGGAUCAGGCCUCUCACAGAGCUACAAGCACCAGGAUGAUGUGAGGAAGACAAGUGGUUUCUACUACAGCUUGACAUUGAUAAAAUCCAAAGCUCACCCUGCCUUUAAGUACAUUUUUCCUUGCUUCCCCCUUUAGCUGCACUUCAGUUGGGAACCUGUGAAGCAGGAAAUCCCUAGGAGCAGUUGGGAGAAUUUCCCAUCUUACAGUUUCUCAAGCGGUCUGCAAAAAACACGUGGGAAAUACAAGUCGGAGGAUCACAGUUUCUGUCUCCCAGGUGGAGUGGUUUGCUUCCAACCCCUGCCAUGGCUGGGUGGUUUGGUGCCGUGCAAGAAAGGGAGAUCCCGACAGCAGCUGGUGGUGCCCAGCAAUGGGACAGGAGGAGCGAGCAGGAACUGAUGCUCAGAAGUUCCACCUGAACAUGAGGAAGAAUUUCUUUUCCUGGGCAGUGACUGAGCACUGAACAGAUUGUCCAGAGAGGGUGUGGAGCCUCCCUCACUGGAGAUCUUCCAGAACCCUCUGGACACAAUUGUGUGCCAUGUGCUUGAGCAGGGAGGUGGGACCAGAUGCCCCACAGUGGUCCCCUCCAGCCUGACCCAUCCUGUGAUUCUGUGAACAAAGAGGAGAGGAAAGAGCCAAGUGUGUGAGGAGGGUUUGAGCAGUGGGUGGACAGAGGCCUUUUAUGUAGCUGAAUUCUUCUGACCAGUCACUCCGGCUCUUCUUUCUUUUCCUAUCAUGUUUUCCACUAAAUGUGUAGAAUAUGAAUGUUGUGUUAAAAUGACAAAGUGUCUGACAAAAAGCAGAAAUGAUCAUGUGGUUUGGGGUUGGUUUCGUUUUCCCCCCAGUCUUUGCCAAACAAAUGAUUGUGUCAGCACUUUGUCAAAAAUGACACAGUUUGGUCACCAAAAUGAUGGUGCCUCAGGAGGGGGUCCCAUGACAUUUAUUUGGGAAAAGCACCCCCUGCUUCUGACAGUCCCCUCCCUGCCACUGUUACUAACCCUGUGCCAUCCCUCAGCAAUAUUGAUUUAACUGUUUGCAAAGCUAUAUUGGAAACUGAGGCCAAGUCAUUGAAAUAGCCUCGAUUAAAAAAAUA